AACAUCUGGACAUCACUCAGCUCUGUCACACAUGUCCAGUGACUGCUUACAUCUCACUGAUAAUGCUGAUUGCUGCCGCUGGAUCUCUGUUGAUUGUAAUUUCACUCGUCAUCUGCUGCAUCUGCAAGAAAUAUAGAAAAACAGUCACGUCACAGGAAGAAGACACGACUGAUUUAGAAUUUUAUAACCCAGCAACACAAGACACGAAAUCAAAGACGGAUGGUUUGCGUGAAAAUGUCCCCAAAAAACAGUGUUUAGAUGUGAGGUUGUCUUAUUUUUAGAUCACCGGAAUUCAUGCUUUGAACAGACUGAAAAUAAAAUGUAAUAUACGUCUGAAAAUAAAGUUGGAUAUUCCAAUG